UUGGAUGCCGUGGGCCCUAGUAAGGAGUGAAUGAGGUCUUCGUCCGGCUGUACGACGUUAAAGCAAGCGCUACUUGGGAGGCAACCCAUGCAUUCAACAAAGGACGACCUAGAAAGCACUCCAAUUCCAGAUUUGCGUUCCUAAACCCUUCUCUUUGUUGUUAUUUCAUUCAUGCCAUAUUAGAUUGUUAGUUGCUGUUUUGUGGUUUGUUUGUUAAUUGUGUUAGUUUAUGCUUGAAACAUUGAGGACAAUGUUUGAUUUAAGUAUGGGGGGUAACCAAAGUAUUUUCUUGCAAAUUCGUAGGGUUUACUCACUCAUGAUUUCUAAUGUUGUUUCUUGCUGUUUUUAAGCCUUUUUAAGCUAUUUUGGUGUGUUUUGAGUCAAAAAUCCGAAAAUCCCAUAAAAAUUUGAAAAAAUUGUUUUAAAAAACCCAAAAAGUGUUGUUUUUGUGUGUUUGUUUGUGUCUUAGGGUACCUUCCAACACAAUGAUGAGGAUUCGGUUUGUAAUUGCAUGAUUGUUAAAGAGAGUUAUAAACAUGGAUAAAAGUUUGAUUUACUCUUUGGUUUAUGCUUGGUUGUGGUUAUAACUUAUGCAUUCACAUGUAAUCAUAAGGAAAAAAUUAGUUUUUAUAACAUGCUUGAAGGAAGGAACUCAAACAAACGCUACAACCUUGUGAGACUUGAGCCUAAACGUUUAUUUGGAGAGUUAAAAUCUGUGUAUUCUUGUUUUCUAAAGUCGUUGCAUGAUCUCAUUAUUCUUUGCUUGGUUACUACUUAGAAGGCGUUUCAUCAUUUAGUUCCAAAUGCUAGAACUCAUGCCAAUUUCAUUCAAAACAUGUUAUUGAAUUACAUAACACAUAUUCAAGAUAAAGUUAGUAGUUACCACCAUUACCAAAAAGCCUUCAUUCCAUGCAUUCGUUUUUGUAGGUUUAACCCCGUUGAGCCUCGUUUAGCCUAUGUUGUUUGUUAACCCACAUUAUCCUUACCUAGCCUAGAUUAGGAUUAUCCAUACCCUUGUUCUUAGAACGUAGUUAAGCAUGACUCAAGACGAAUUCCUUUGAUCGUGGUAUUGCAGAAACAUAAGUGUGGGGGAAAGAUUCUUGAUAUGGGAAUGUGCCAAAAUUCAUAUUGAGGCACGGGUUAGGAGAAAAGAAAAAAAAAGAAAAAAGAGAAAAAUUCGUGCAAAAUAGAAAGAAAAGAAAAAUAGUUGUGAAAAGUAUGAAAAGGAGUUGGAAGAGCAUAAAAAUAAGCUCUAAGUGUUGGUUGUUGAAGAAAGGGUCCAAAAAGUUGCAUUUGACCCUAAAUAUGCAUGCAUAUUCCCCUUUGUGUUUAAAGUUGUUUUCUGCACUCUAAAGUGAAUUCUAAGUGUCAAUUUCAUUGCUUUGCUUACUAUUGUUUUAAGAACGUUUGUUUAUCCUUUACUCUUCUUUGUUAGCCAAUACCCCAAGCCCCGUUACAACCCUUUACUUUAAUCUUGAGUGUUAUGUGUUUCAAUUUGUGGAGUUUAACAUUGGUAUGAGCAUAUGGUGUCACUAGUUCUCGCAUCUAAGUAGUAGCAUUCCAUUCAUGAGAUCAUAUUUAAACAUGUUGUUAACUCCGGAAAGUGCUUCCUUUGUCAUACAUAUAUGUGAGCAUUCGUUUUCAUAUUUUACAUCUAAUCUUCUCACAUAUAACUAGUAUAUGGUGUGUAGUCAGAAAUUCUGUGUGAAAAUUGAGUGCAUAUCUAGUAAGGAAUUGAGCAAAUUCUCUAAGGCAUGUUACUACAUUCAAAACAUCGUUUUAAUUGGUUAUUUGUGAACUAAUAAGUAGUGACUAUGAUUAAGUAUGUGCUUAAGCGUAAAGAUGGCUAAAAUCUGUGGGAAUGAUGAUUUUUAACAUGUCAUGUGCAUUGGAAAUCCCUGAGGCGAUUGUUGGAAGGCUUAGGUUGUGUUUUACUCGUUUUGUUUCGUUUAUUUACUUUGUUUCGUUUUGUUUUGCUCGAGGACUAGCAAAAGCUAAGUGUGGGGGAAUUUGAUAGGAGCAUAUUUAUGCGCCUUAGUUUAGCUUGUUCUUGUGCAUUUAUAGUGUUUUUCCUUAGUAAAGUAGUCUUUUAAGCUAGUUUUAUGUGUUUUCAGGUUCUAAGGGCAAAGUAUGCAAAAGGAUGCAUUUUGGAGCCUUUUGGAGCAAAUUAGAGCUUGGAAUGGACAUCAUAUGCUUGGAGCCAAGAGGAUGGACGAAAUUGAAGAUGAUAUUUCCUACCUGAACAAGGUUUCCUAGUCGAAGUAGGAAAGCGCCUAAGUAAAAGAUGGAAUCCUAGUUGAAUUAGGAUUCCUAGUUGAAAUAGGUUUCCUAGUGAAAUUGGGAUUCCUAGAAGAUAAAGAUUCCUACUCAAACAAGGUUUCCUACUUGGAGUAGGAAAGUCAAAAUCCAAAUGGUCUCAAGAGAAGCAACAAAGAAGUUUUCCAAGUCCAAGAAGGAAAAGGAUUCCAAGAUGAAGAAGGAAAGACAAAGACAUGGUUUCCUAAUCCUAAUAGGCAAAGUUUCCAAGUGAAAUGAGGAGUCCUUAUCCAUUUAGGGCACCUUAUCCAUUUAGGACACCUAAACCUUAUCCUUAUCCCUUAGUGCCGCACCCUAAACCUUCUAGAAACCUGAUUUCCUUGCCUUGCAAGGCCAUCUAGAAGCCUUAUCCUUAUAAUCCAUUCCUGCCGCACCUAGGGUGACCUUUCCUACCCAAAAUCUGAUUGUUUUAAGCCCUUUCCUGAUGGGAUUUAAUCCUCCAAGUCCUAAUCUGAUUUGCAAGACUUUUAGGACCCUAUAAAUACAUGAUGCCGCACCCUUCACAUUCACCACUCACCACAAUUCACAAUUCACUCCAGAAAUUCACAAGAACCCUUUGCCGCACCAAUUCACUCCCAUUCACCAUACAAUCUGACCUUGCCGCACCCCCCACCCUUCCUAAACACUUCUACCUUAGUCCAUACUCAUCCACCCAUACAUAUAAGUCCCAACCUGUCCCUAAAGUCCUUUGCCGCAGCAAGGAGGAGGAGAAUGAGCCUUGGAAGUUCAUGCCGUGCAAGUUCAAGUGGCUGGAAGUUUUAGGUGUUUCCUUCCCUUUGAUUUCAAUGUUUAAACUUAUUACUCUUUGUUUUAUGCUUAUGAGGAACUAAACCCCCCUUGGCUAGGGGGGGAUUCGAAAUACAUGAUUAUGCUUGCGAUAUGAUUUGAUUACUUCUAAUUGCGUUUCAUAAGUUGUGAAUUCAAUUUACUUAUCUAUAUGAAUUACAUUGAUUUUGUGUGUAUUGGUUGAGAGUGCACGCUUAAUUAUCAUGCAUAAAUUGAAUGCUAGGAUAUAAGGAAAUUUCACCUAAUCGUUA
rnacentral:lncRNA from 1 species